rnacentral:rRNA from 1 species
GAACGCUGGCGGCAGGCCUAACACAUGCAAGUCGAACGGAUGUAGCAAUACAUUAGUGGCGCACGGGAGAGUAACGCGUGGGAACCUACCUUUUGGUUCGGGAUAACGUCGGGAAACUGACGCUAAUACCGGAUAAGCCCGCCCCUUUAGUCGGGGGUGUGGGAAAGAUUUAUCGCCGAUAGAUGGGCCCGCGUUAGAUUAGCUAGUUGGUGAGGUAAUGGCUCACCAAGGCGACGAUCUAUAGCUGGUCUGAGAGGAUGACCAGCCUCACUGGGACUGAGACACGGCCCAGACUCCUACGGGAGGCAGCAGUGGGGAAUAUUGGACAAUGGGGGCAACCCUGAUCCAGCCAUGCCGCGUGAACGAUGAAGGCCUUCGGGUUGUAAAGUUCUUUUGGUGGGGACGAUGAUGACGGUACCCACAGAAUAAGCACCGGCUAACUUCGUGCCAGCAGCCGCGGUAAUACGAAGGGUGCUAGCGUUGUUCGGAAUUACUGGGCGUAAAGGGCGCGUAGGCGGUUUAACAAGUUGGGUGUGAAAGCCCAGGGCUCAACCCUGGAACUGCACUCAAGACUGUUUGACUUGAAUUCGGUAGAGGUUGGUGGAAUUCCCAGUGUAGAGGUGAAAUUCGUAGAUAUUGGGAAGAAUAUCCGUGGCGAAGGCGGCCAACUGGACCGACAUUGACGCUGAGGCGCGAAAGCGUGGGGAUCAAACAGGAUUAGAUACCCUGGUAGUCCACGCUGUAAACGAUGCAUGCUAGACGUUGGAAACCUCAGGUUUCUUGUUCGCAGCUAACGCACUAAGCAUGCCGCC